CAAAAAGUGGAGGAAAAGAAACCAACUGGGAUUACCUUAGUAACGGCGAGUGAAGCGGUAAAAGCUCAAAUUUGAAAUCUGGUACUUUCAGUGCCCGAGUUGUAAUUUGUAGAAUUUGUCUUUGAUUAGGUCCUUGUCUAUGUUCCUUGGAACAGGACGUCAUAGAGGGUGAGAAUCCCGUUUGGCGAGGAUACCUUUUCUCUGUAAGACUUUUUCGAAGAGUCGAGUUGUUUGGGAAUGCAGCUCAAAGUGGGUGGUAAAUUCCAUCUAAAGCUAAAUAUUGGCGAGAGACCGAUAGCGAACAAGUACAGUGAUGGAAAGAUGAAAAGAACUUUGAAAAGAGAGUGAAAAAGUACGUGAAAUUGUUGAAAGGGAAGGGCAUUUGAUCAGACAUGGUGUUUUUUGCAUGCACUCGCCUCUCGUGGGCUUGGGCCUCUCAAAAAUUUCACUGGGCCAACAUCAAUUCUGGCAGCAGGAUAAAUCAUUAAGAAUGUAGCUACUUCGGUAGUGUUAUAGCUUUUUGGAAUACUGUUAGCCGGGAUUGAGGACUGCGCUUCGGCAAGGAUGUUGGCAUAAUGGUUAAAUGCCGCCCGUCUG
rnacentral:rRNA from 1 species